rnacentral:rRNA from 1 species
UACGAAGGGGGCUAGCGUUGCUCGGAAUCACUGGGCGUAAAGCGCACGUAGGCGGCUUGUUAAGUCAGGGGUGAAAUCCUGGAGCUCAACUCCAGAACUGCCUUUGAUACUGGCGAUCUCGAGUCCGGGAGAGGUGAGUGGAACUGCGAGUGUAGAGGUGAAAUUCGUAGAUAUUCGCAAGAACACCCGUGGCGAAGGCGGUUCUCUGGGACGGUACUGACGCUGAGACGCGAAAGCGUGGGGAGCGAGCAGG